AUAAAAAUAAGCUAAACUCAAUAAGCUAUUAGGUUCAUACCCUAACUAUAGAUUUAAUCUUUUUUAUA
rnacentral:tRNA from 1 species